rnacentral:rRNA from 11 species
AAGUAGCGAAGGGCACACGGGGGAUGCCUAGGCUCUCAGAGGCGAGGAAGGACGCGAUAAGCUGCGAUAAGCAGUGGGGAAGGGCACAUACCUAGUGAUCCACUGAUUUCCGAAUGGGGCAACCCCCUUAGGUGAAGCCUAAGGAUCUUUAUCCUUGUGGUAAAGAGGCAAACGCAGGGAACUGAAACAUCUAAGUACCUGCAGGAACAGAAAAUAAGAAUGAUUCCCCAAGUAGUGGCGAGCGAACGGGGACGAGCCCAAACCGGGUUGGUUACGGCCAGUCCGGGGUUGUAGGACCUCAAGAUCUGAUUAUCUUCUCUUAGCUGAAUGACGUGGGAAAGUCAACCAGAGACGGUGAGAGUCCGGUAAGCGAGCAGAGAAGGUACGGUAGAGGAUUCCUGAGUAAGGCGGGACCAGCGAAAUCCCGUCUGAAUCGGGCGGUACCAUCCGCCAAGGCUACAUACUCCUGAGAGACCGAUAGUGAACUAGUACCGUGAGGGAAAGGUGAAAAGAACCGGGAAUACCGGAGUGAAAAGAACCUGAAACCGUGUGCUUACAAGCGGUCAGAGGCCUUGAGUGGGCUGAUGGCGUGCCUUUUGCAUAAUGAGCCUACGAGUUACGCCUCUCGGGCAAGGUUAAAUGACUCAAGUCAUGGAGCCGCAGCGAAAGCGAGUCUGAAUAGGGCGCAGAGUCCGAGGGGGUAGACGCGAAACUUUGUGAGCUACCCAUGAGCAGGCUGAAGGUUGGGUAACACCACCUGGAGGGCCGAACCAGUUUCCGUUGAAAAGGAUUUGGAUGACUUGUGGGUAGGGGUGAAAGGCCAAUCAAACUGAGAAAUAGCUCGUACUCCCCGAAAUGUAUUUAGGUACAGCGUCGGCGUUGAGUCAGCGGGAGGUAGAGCUACCAAUAGGACUAGGGGGUGUCACAGCCUACCGAAUCCUGAUGAACUCCGAAUGCCCGUUGAUAUAGCCGGCAGUGAGGCUUGGGGUGCUAAGGUCCCAGGCCGAGAGGGAAAGAACCCAGACCAUCCGCUAAGGUCCCUAAAUUCGGACUAAGUUGAACAAAGGAGGUCCACUUGCUUUGACAGCCAGGAGGUUGGCUUGGAAGCAGCCAUUCCUUUAAAGAGUGCGUAACAGCUCACUGGUCGAGCGAGAGGGCAUCGAUAAUACGCGGGCAUCAAGUCCGGUACCGAAGCGAUGGAUUUAGUCUUUAGUGACUAAGUGGUAGGGGAGCAUUCCAGCAGCGGUGAAGGUGCCUUGUAAGGGGUGCUGGAGCGGCUGGAAAAGCAAAUGUAGGCAUGAGUAACGAUAAGGCGGGUGAGAAACCCGCCCCCCGAUAGACUAAGGUUUCCUGCUCAACGCUAAUCGGAGCAGGGUUAGUCGGGACCUAAGGCUAGGCCGAGCGGCUACGUCGAUGGACAGCUGGUUGAUAUUCCAGCACCUAGAAUUUGGAGUGAUGCAGUGACGCAGGAGUGAAAGUACCGCGAGCGGACGGAAGUGCUCGUUAAAGGGCGUAGGUAGAGCCACCGUAGUUAAGUACGCGGAGGUUGCUGAAACCUGAUAGUACCCCACGGCCUCGGCCACGGGGAUAGUGUACCUAAUCAGACUGUCAAGAAAACCUGCUAAGCGUUUACUGAAUUCUAGCUCGUACCGCAAACCGACACAGGUAGUCAAGGAGAGUAUCCUGAGGGGCUCGAGUGAAUCACCGCUAAGGAACUCGGCAAAAUGGUCCUGUAACUUCGGGAGAAGGGACGCUUCCUGGUAGCAAUACCAGAAGCCGCAGUGAAAAGGCCCAGGCGACUGUUUAACAAAAACACAUGACUUUGCGAACGCGCAAGCGGAAGUAUAAGGUCUGACACCUGCCCGGUGCCGGAAGGUUAAGAGGGGAACUUAGUCGCAAGGCGAAGGUUUGAAUCGAAGCCCCGGUAAACGGCGGCCGUAACUAUAACGGUCCUAAGGUAGCGAAAUUCCUUGUCGGGUAAGUUCCGACCUGCACGAAUGGCGUAACGACUUCUCGACUGUCUCAACCAUAGGCUCGGCGAAAUUGCACUACGAGUAAAGAUGCUCGUUACGCGCGGCAGGACGGAAAGACCCCGGGACCUUCACUACAACUUGAUAUUGGUGCUCGGUUCGGCUUGUGUAGGAUAGGUGGGAGACUGUGAAGCUGGCACGCCAGUGCUGGUGGAGUCGCCGUUGAAAUACCACUCUGGUCGAAUUGGGUGUCUAACCUCGGUCCGUGAUCCGGAUCAGGAACAGUGUCAGGCGGGUAGUUUAACUGGGGCGGUUGCCUCCAAAAAUGUAACGGAGGCGCCCAAAGGUUCCCUCAGCCUGGUUGGCAAUCAGGUGUCGAGUGCAAGUGCACAAGGGAGCUUGACUGUGAGACCGACAGGUCGAGCAGGGACGAAAGUCGGGACUAGUGAUCCGGCACUGGCUUGUGGAAGCGGUGUCGCUCAACGGAUAAAAGGUACCCCGGGGAUAACAGGCUGAUCUUGCCCAAGAGUCCAUAUCGACGGCAAGGUUUGGCACCUCGAUGUCGGCUCGUCGCAUCCUGGGGCUGGAGUAGGUCCCAAGGGUUGGGCUGUUCGCCCAUUAAAGCGGCACGCGAGCUGGGUUUAGAACGUCGUGAGACAGUUCGGUCCCUAUCCGCCGCGCGCGCAGGAGACUUGAGAAGAGCUGUCCCUAGUACGAGAGGACCGGGACGGACGAACCUCUGGUGUGACAGUUGUCCUGCCAAGGGCACUGCUGUUUAGCUACGUUCGGCAGGGAUAACCGCUGAAAGCAUCUAAGCGGGAAGCUCGCUUCGAGAUGAGGUCUCCCACAGGGUCAACCUGGUAAGGCCCCCCACGAGACCAUGGGGUUGAUAGGCCGGAAGUGGAAGCCCUGCAAGGGGUGCAGCUGACCGGUACUAAUAGGCCGAGGGCUUGACC